rnacentral:rRNA from 1 species
GAAUUCAACUCCUACGGGAGGCAGCAGUGGGGAAUAUUGCACAAUGGGCGCAAGCCUGAUGCAGCCAUGCCGCGUGUGUGAAGAAGGCCUUUGGGUUGUAAAGCACUUUCAGCGGGGAGGAAGGCGGUGAGGUUAAUAACCUCAUCGAUUGACGUUACCCGCAGAAGUAGCACCGGCUAACUCCGUGCCAGCAGCCGCGGUAAUACGGAGGGUGCAAGCGUUAAUCGGAAUUACUGGGCGUAAAGCGCACGCAGGCGGUCUGUCAAGUCGGAUGUGAAAUCCCCGGGCUCAACCUGGGAACUGCAUUCGAAACUGGCAGGCUAGAGUCUUGUAGAGGGGGGUAGAAUUCCAGGUGUAGCGGUGAAAUGCGUAGAGAUCUGGAGGAAUACCGGUGGCGAAGGCGGCCCCCUGGACAAAGACUGACGCUCAGGUGCGAAAGCGUGGGGAGCAAACAGGAUUAGAAACCCUAGUAGUCCAGGCGUU